GAUAAAACCAACUUUGAAAUAUUUUCCAUAAUUGUUAUUAUGAUUGAAUGCGAUAAAUGUUUAUUUACGAAGCCAUGAAAGGUAUUUGAAUUUCAUGACUAUUUUCAAGUAUACAUUUGGAGACUAGAUUUCUUAAAGAAAUUUAUGCUAGCACGUAGAUAUUAAAUGUUUGGAAAGUAUUUAAACCACAAUAUUUUAAGCAAAGCAUGAAUUAGUAUGAAGUUUUGUUUUAAGAACUACAAUUUUCCACGAAAGAGCUGAGUAAAGUUCGAGCUUUGUGUAAAAUUUAUAAGCAGGCAUGUUUUAAUAUUUUAUGAUGAUUUAUGAAAUUUUCAUUAACUACAUGACUGAGAUCUUGAGCCUGAGGCUAGAGAUUACCGUGUGCACACUGGUUAGAUUUCGUUGUUGACGUUGAGUGUACUCCGUAACAACGAUGCUGUCGUGAGUGCUGGGCGGGCCCCACUACGACAAAGACGAUGGGAGUGCUGGGCGGGCCCCACUACAUCGUAGUGCUUGUAAACGUUGUUGUACUAGGUGUACCCUACACAACGUAGAUUCGUCAUGUUAGUUAAAAUGCUUCGAUAUACUUGAUAUGCCUUGCUAGAUUUCAAUGAUGAACAUGCUGAGUAUUUAAGGAAGUUAUUCUUACUAUUACACAUUUACAUUUACGACUUGUAUAAACAGAUUUAUAUGUGUAAAGUUUUCACGUGCUCUUAUCUUUAAAUUCAUAGUUUUAAACUGAGUCACUCACUGAGCUCCAUAGCUCACCCUUUCCAAAAUGUUUUACCCAUUUUCCAGGUAGAGAUCGACUUCCCGGUGCCUGAUAGACUGCCUUAGUCUGCGGAAGCUUCAUUAUCGAUUGCCAGUACGUGUUUUGAGUUGGGCAUAAAGUCUGUUGUGUUGUGAUGUAUUCACACCCUUGUAUGUUAUAGAUACUCCACAGUUUGUAUAAGCUUUAGGAGCUGUAGUUGUGUAAAUUUUGUUGGUUAUAUUUUGAUUAAGGUGUCUUUAGGUUUACUCGUGAAAUUGGUAAAUUUUGAGGUACACUUCAUGUAUGUGUUUGACUAGCUGUGUUUGAUUAUCCUAGGAUCCGAUGUGUUUUGUGGCAUGUACAAUAGUUUAUAUACUAGAUUGGCAAGUUCAUCACAUGAAA